rnacentral:rRNA from 1 species
UACGAAGGGGACUAGCGUUGUUCGGAAUUACUGGGCGUAAAGCGCACGUAGGCGGAUUUGUAAGUCAGGGGUGAAAUCCUGGAGCUCAACUCCAGAACUGCCUUUGAUACUGGCGAGCUUGAGUUCGGGAGAGGUGAGUGGAACUGCGAGUGUAGAGGUGAAAUUCGUAGAUAUUCGCAAGAACACCAGUGGCGAAGGCGGCUCACUGGCCGAUACUGACGCUGAGGUGCGAAAGCGUGGGGAGCAAACAGG